rnacentral:ncRNA from 1 species
AAACAAGCAAUGACAAGGAAAAGUAGAAGAUAUGAGUGUUGAUACAGAGAACUUCGUUUGCUGAGAGAAGCCGCACUGAUUGAUUUCGAAAGUAGCCUUUGAGCUAUCCGCUGAAAAUAAGUAGGUUGGAUUGGGAGUGCCCAUUAAUGCACCGACACAUUAGACUUUAUCAGGAUGAGCGGCGUCCAGCGCGACAGCUCGUUUGAUCUCAGUGAUUUUUGGCUGUGAUGAUUCUGCUCUUAAAGCGCUAGUGUGUGAUAGAGGCAGCUACGGCAACGGGGCUGUAAACUAAGGGUGGUAACACGCAGAAGCGUCCUUAAG